CAGACCUACGGGGCGCAGCAGUGGGGAAUAUUGGGCAAUGGGCGCAAGCCUGACCCAGCAACGCCGCGUGAAGGAAGAAGGCCCUCGGGUUGUAAACUUCUUUUAUCAGGGACGAAGAAGUGACGGUACCUGAUGAAUAAGCCACGGCUAACUACGUGCCAGCAGCCGCGGUAAUAUGUAGGUGGCAAGCGUUAUCCGGAUUUACUGGGUGUAAAGGGCGUGUAGGCGGGGAAGCAAGUCAGCUGUGAAAUUC
rnacentral:rRNA from 1 species